rnacentral:rRNA from 1 species
GUACGCGAAAGUUGCCUUCGUGUGGCGUGUAGAGUGGCGAAAGGGUGAGUAAUGCAUGGUUAACAUACCCUGGAGACCGGGAUAACUUGCUGAAAGGCGGCUAAUACCGGAUGUUCCCACGGGAUAAACGGCGGGGUCCUUCGGGACCUGCUGCUCCAGGAGUGGACCAUGUCCCAUCAGUUAGUUGGUGAGGUAAGAGCUCACCAAGGCAAUGACGGGUAGCUGGUCUGAGAGGAUGGUCAGCCACACUGGGACUGAGACACUGCCCAGACUUCUACGGGAGGCUGCAGUCGAGAAUCAUCCGCAAUGGGCGCAAGCCCUGACGGUGCGACCGCGUGUUGAAGGAUGAAAGGCCUUCGGGUUGUAAACUUCUAACACGGGUUAAGAAAACGCCUGGGAUAAAUAGUGUCGGGUUUGACUGUACCCCCGAGAUGAAGCACUUGGCUAACUCCGUUGCCAGCAGCCGUGGUAAUACGGAGAGUGCAAGCGUUACUCGGAAUCACUGGGCUUAAA